GAGUUACCGCUCUACAACCCUUUGUGAACAUACCUAACCGUUGCUUCGGCGGGCAGGGGAAGCCUCUCGCGGGCCUCCCCUCCCGGCGCCGGCCCCACCACGGGGACGGGGCGCCCGCCGGAGGAAACCAAACUCUAUUUACACGACGUCUCUUCUGAGUGGCACAAGCAAAUAAUUAAAACUUUUAACAACGGAUCUCUUGGUUCUGGCAUCGAUGAARAACGCAGCGAAAUGCGAUAAGUAAUGUGAAUUGCARAAUUCAGUGAAUCAUCGAAUCUUUGAACGCACAUUGCGCUCGCCAGCAUUCUGGCGAGCAUGCCUGUUCGAGCGUCAUUUCAACCCUCAAGCACCGCUUGGUUUUGGGGCCCCACGGCAGACGUGGGCCCUUAAAGGUAGUGGCGGACCCUCCCGGAGCCUCCUUUGCGUAGUAACUAACGUCUCGCACUGGGAUCCGGAGGGACUCUUGCCGUAAAACCCCCAAAUUCUUUACAGGUUGACCUCGGAUCAGGUAGGAAUACCCGCU
rnacentral:rRNA from 1 species